GGAGGUGUAGUCUAACUGGUAAGGCACCGGUCUUGAAAACCGGCGGGGUUAACGCCCUUGGGGGUUCGAGUCCCUCCACCUCCGCCA
rnacentral:tRNA from 1 species